CCUAAGUGGAUGCGCCUGGCUUGAUGACAGACAGCACAGUGGCCAAAGGUUUGCAUACCAGCCAGUCACCCAUGCAUAGAUCUGGUGCUCAACCUAUAGCAGGACCCGGGAACAUUAAAUUUCCUGAGCCUGAAUUUCCUCCUCUGUAAAAUGCCAAUCAUAAUAAUAAUAGCAGCUGCUUCUUAGGAUUACUGUUCUGAUGACAUAAGUUCAUACCCAUAAAGUAGGUCACAAAGUGCCCGGCACAAAGCAAGCUCUUAAUAAAGCAAAGUAUCGACACUCCCAUUUGACAGAUGGGAAACAAAGUCUCAGCGAGGGGAAGGGACUUACCCACCAGAGGUAGUCAUUAAACUCAGUUUCAUCUGAGUGCAAAGCCAAGGCAUGCUCCUCUCUAGCCCCGCUCCACCGCCCAUGGACAGGGGUCAUGUUCAGACCUUCUCAGGCCCUGAAGCCCUCUCUUCAAGGGCUCAUAAUUGGAAAACCUUGACCACCCUCCUCCUGACCCAGCACACUUAUUAGCUAGUUGAACCCGGGUGAAUUGAAGUUGCCAAAGGCACCCUGUCUUCCAGGAAACAGGGCCAGCCAAGGCCACUCUGCUGACCUUGGUGGGUGUGACAGGUCCCUGGGUAAUCAAUCCCCUUUAUGACCAAGGCCACCAAUUUUCUCCCUCUUUGAUUCCCUCUCCUGAAGCCUGGUGCAUCCACUCAGCACCUGGUUAGGAAGCUAGGCCAAUUUUCCUCCCUUUUGAUUUCAUUCUGCUCCUGUCUGGCUGCCCAGCCACAUGGAGAGUUUGUCAAAUGGAAUUUCUGUCUCUUGCGGCCGCCCUGCCCUCUGCAGAGUGCUGAACGGGCAGGCAGGAUCACCCGGCUCAGUGCCGCAGACAUCACUCUCUUGUGAUAAGGGCCAGUGCGCACCCUUGAAGGAGGAGCCUGUCAUUCUUCACAGUCACCAGGCAGCUGGCGGGCCCUGACAUUCUCCAGCUUUCAUGGUGUUCCUGCAAUCCAAGUGCCGCUUAUCUCUCUACAGGUCCACCAGAUGACCGGCUGGCCUCCUAAUUGGGCUUCCUGCAUUCCUGCCUGUGCUCGGAGCUCCCUUCUCCACUUGCCUGCUGGAGGAGGUUUACAAACAAAAUCAGAUCAUGGCACUCCCCUGGGGCCCUGCAUCCUGUGGCCAGCAGGUCUUGGAAACGCCCCUGUACCCCAGAAACUUCCUGAUCAGUCCCUGGUCAGUGUAUAUCAUGCUUCCUGUGACAUGACAUCAACUUUUCAGUGACUUCCACUGGUUUUGGCCCAGCUCGAAGAGCCUGACACCUCUGCAGGGAAUUCUACCAGGGAGAAGAGAAAGUAGUCACUGCUUCCAGUUUUUUUAAGGAGUUGGCCAAGAGCCAGCACCAGGCAUCAGAGGAAGGCAGCUGACUGCACUCGGCCACAUCCCAAAAGUGCCUGGAAGGGGAGGGAGGAAGCAGGCGCUUCAGAAGGCACUACUGUGUGUCAGGACUCAUGCUAGGAACGCUGUAACAGGGAGCAGUGAUGGAGUCCUUGAGGGAGCUCAGGAGGGGGAAUUGCACUGAAGAUUUGUCCCAUCGUGAAGCAAGAGCACUGGAACUUACACUCCACCAUCAGGCCCUGUCACAGGAGAACAAAGAAGGAAGGCAGAGGAGAUCAUGCUCCGGCCAGCAGGGAAUCUCCAUUUUUUUCAGCCUCAUACCUUGGAAAGUACAAAGGAGUGAGAGCUGGGACUACCAGCCAGAGGGUUCAUGGAGGUAGUGGGAGGGGAAGAUGGGUUCUGCAUGGAGCCACUCCAGGGACUUUUCUUCUGUCUCACAGCCUGACAAUCACCUCUAGCUGUUCUCAGUCCCAUUCUCAUCAAUGACCUCGUCUCCUGAUUUUGUACAAUAUCUAGGUGACCUUCUCUUCUUUCCAUCUUCAAACGCUUGAUCAUUGAUGCUCCCUUUUCUCUUCUCUCUCCUCCUGGGAAAAGAGAAGGACCAACAUCCCCCUUUCCCUUCCUCCUGUGCUGUCCCGACCCCUCUGAGACCUGGCUCUAGCAGUAAGUCCCUCUCUCUUCUGCAGCACCAGCCUCUGCCCAUCCCUGCCCUCUGCACACAAAGCUCUCACAUUGUCUGCACUUUAAGAACUUUUGUGGCAAACCCUGGCAAAUCCUGCCACUUGUUUCCACUCUUCUCAAAUGGCUUUGAGGUCAUCAUUGACCUAUCCCAUUUGACCCUGUCCUGUAUCUGAUGUUGUACCCUUUCUCCUUGAUCCCACUCUGGCAACUCUCCCACUCCCCUUUCUUGGAUCAACUGUCUUGCUCCUCAGUCUUGAUCAAUGCCUCCUUCUCUCUCUUUAGCCUUGGCCCUUUUUGGCCAGGGAAAUAAAUGUGAAAU
rnacentral:lncRNA from 1 species